rnacentral:sRNA from 2 species
AUAUCUCUCCGUACGGGAAGGAUGAGAAGCUUCGACUAAGGUUCGAUUCGAGCGCAGCGAGAAAGCGUUGCCGCA